AGAAUUUGAAUACAUACAGUGAGACCCUAGAGCUCAAGCAUUGUAUAUCUUUACCUAAGAUCUUUCAAAGAGGAAGAUGAAGAUGUAAAAGAAUAAAGUAGGCUAUGCUGAUAUUUCACAUCCUGGCCAGAGAUCACCCUGCUUUUGUAAAGCUUUGGAGAAAAUGGGUACUGGAUUUUUCCAACUACCACAUGGAGACUUUUUCAUUGAACCCGUGAAGAAGCAUCCACUGGUUGAGGGAGGGUACCACCCGCACAUCGUUUACAGGAGGCAGAAAGUUCCAGAAACCAAGGAGCCAACCUGUGGAUUAAAGGACAGCGUUAACAUCUCCCGGAAGCAAGAGCUAUGGCGGGAGAAGUGGGAGAGGCACAACUUGCCAAGCAGAAGCCUCUCUCGGCGUUCCAUCAGCAAGGAGAGAUGGGUGGAGACACUGGUGGUGGCCGACACAAAGAUGAUUGAAUACCAUGGGAGUGAGAAUGUGGAGUCCUACAUCCUCACCAUCAUGAACAUGGUCACUGGGUUGUUCCAUAACCCAAGCAUUGGCAAUGCAAUUCACAUUGUUGUGGUUCGGCUCAUUCUACUCGAAGAAGAAGAGCAAGGACUGAAAAUAGUUCACCAUGCAGAGAAGACACUGUCUAGCUUCUGCAAGUGGCAGAAGAGUAUCAAUCCCAAGAGUGACCUCAAUCCUGUUCAUCACGACGUGGCUGUCCUUCUCACCAGAAAGGACAUCUGUGCUGGUUUCAAUCGCCCCUGCGAGACCCUGGGCCUGUCUCACCUUUCAGGAAUGUGUCAGCCUCACCGCAGUUGUAACAUCAAUGAAGAUUCGGGACUCCCUCUGGCUUUCACAAUUGCCCAUGAGCUAGGACACAGCUUCGGCAUCCAGCAUGAUGGGAAAGAAAAUGACUGUGAGCCUGUGGGCAGACAUCCGUACAUCAUGUCCCGCCAGCUCCAGUACGAUCCCACUCCGCUGACAUGGUCCAAGUGCAGCGAGGAGUACAUCACCCGCUUCUUGGACCGAGGCUGGGGGUUCUGUCUUGAUGACAUACCUAAAAAGAAAGGCUUGAAGUCCAAGGUCAUUGCCCCCGGAGUGAUCUAUGAUGUUCACCACCAGUGCCAGCUACAAUAUGGACCCAAUGCUACCUUCUGCCAGGAAGUAGAAAACGUCUGCCAGACACUGUGGUGCUCCGUGAAGGGCUUUUGUCGCUCUAAGCUGGACGCUGCUGCAGAUGGAACUCAAUGUGGUGAGAAGAAGUGGUGUAUGGCAGGCAAGUGCAUCACAGUGGGGAAGAAACCAGAGAGCAUUCCUGGAGGCUGGGGCCGCUGGUCACCCUGGUCCCACUGUUCCAGGACCUGUGGGGCUGGAGUCCAGAGUGCAGAGAGGCUCUGCAACAACCCCGAGCCAAAGUUUGGAGGGAAAUAUUGCACUGGAGAAAGAAAACGCUAUCGCUUGUGCAACGUCCACCCCUGUCGCUCAGAGACACCAACAUUUCGGCAGAUGCAGUGCAGUGAAUUUGACACUGUUCCCUACAAGAAUGAACUCUACCACUGGUUUCCCAUUUUUAACCCAGCACAUCCUUGUGAGCUCUACUGCCGACCCAUAGAUGGCCAGUUUUCUGAGAAAAUGCUGGAUGCUGUCACUGAUGGUACCCCUUGCUUUGAAGGUGGCAACAGCAGAAAUGUCUGUAUUAAUGGCAUAUGUAAGAUGGUUGGCUGUGACUAUGAGAUCGAUUCCAGUGCCACCGAGGAUCGCUGCGGUGUGUGCCUGGGAGAUGGCUCUUCCUGCCAGACUGUGAGAAAGAUGUUUAAGCAGAAGGAAGGAUCUGGUUAUGUUGACAUUGGGCUCAUUCCAAAAGGAGCAAGGGACAUAAGAGUGAUGGAAAUUGAGGGAGCCGGAAACUUCCUGGCCAUCAGGAGUGAAGAUCCUGAAAAAUAUUACCUGAAUGGAGGGUUUAUUAUCCAGUGGAACGGGAACUAUAAGCUGGCAGGGACUGUCUUUCAGUAUGACAGGAAAGGAGACCUGGAAAAGCUGAUGGCCACAGGUCCCACCAAUGAGUCUGUGUGGAUCCAGCUUCUAUUCCAGGUGACUAACCCUGGCAUCAAGUAUGAGUACACAAUCCAGAAAGAUGGCCUUGACAAUGAUGUUGAGCAGCAGAUGUACUUCUGGCAGUAUGGCCACUGGACAGAGUGCAGUGUGACCUGCGGGACAGGUAUCCGCCGCCAAACUGCCCAUUGCAUAAAGAAGGGCCGCGGGAUGGUGAAAGCUACAUUCUGUGACCCAGAAACACAGCCCAAUGGGAGACAGAAGAAGUGCCAUGAAAAGGCUUGUCCACCCAGGUGGUGGGCAGGGGAGUGGGAAGCAUGCUCGGCGACAUGCGGGCCCCACGGGGAGAAGAAGCGAACCGUGCUGUGCAUCCAGACCAUGGGCUCUGACGAGCAGGCUCUCCCGCCCACAGACUGCCAGCACCUGCUGAAGCCCAAGACUCUCCUUUCCUGCAACAGAGACAUCCUGUGCCCCUCGGACUGGACAGUGGGCAACUGGAGUGAGUGUUCUGUUUCCUGUGGUGGUGGAGUGCGGAUUCGCAGUGUCACAUGUGCCAAGAACCAUGAUGAACCUUGCGAUGUGACAAGGAAACCCAACAGCCGAGCUCUGUGUGGCCUCCAGCAAUGCCCUUCUAGCCGGAGAGUUCUGAAACCCAACAAAGGCACUAUUUCCAAUGGAAAAAACCCACCAACACUAAAGCCC
rnacentral:sRNA from 1 species